UACAGAGGUCUCAAGCGUUUGUUCGGAUUCAUUGGGCGUAAAGGGUGCGUAGGCGGCGCGGUAAGUCGGGUGUGAAAUCUCGGAGCUUAACUCCGAAACUGCAUUCGAUACUGCCGUGCUUGAGGACUGGAGAGGAGACUGGAAUUUACGGUGUAGCGGUGAAAUGCGUAGAUAUCGUAAGGAAGACCAGUGGCGAAGGCGGGUCUCGUGGACAGUUCCUGACGCUGAGGCACGAAGGUCAGGGGAGCAAACGGG
rnacentral:rRNA from 1 species